rnacentral:lncRNA from 1 species
GAGGGAGGAAGUUCUGUCUCCGGUCCCCUUAAAUGGCCCCCGCUAUUUACAGAUGCGCUGCUGUCACACAUGUCCACCACCACAUGUGACAUUAGUGACGUUAUCCUGAUGUCACAGGAUCCAAGAAUGAUGAUCUGUGAAGAGUUUUCCAAGGUCACCUACUUCUAACUCUUUUGAAAGAUUUAAAGACAUUGGGCCUGAAAAUUUCAGUGACUUGUCCAGGGAAACGCAGUUUGUGACAGUUCACUCUCUCACAGCUGAACCACAGUCCUCUGUACUCGCCCAGGAGCCACAGAAAGUGCACAUCCCUCAGGUGAGCUCUUUAUUCAUUCCCUAUUUUAUAUUGUAGUGGAUUUAUAAGGUUUAGCAGGAUCCAUGCAUUAAAGGAAAAGGAGAAGUAGAAAUAGUAGAAAUCAAGUCAGUCUUGAGGAAAAAUAUACCGUGUUUUACUAUAAUUGUGAUGUGGCUGUAGCUUUGAGUGGGUAACUUUUGUCAGGGUAAGUAGUUUC